GACAGAGGAUGCAAGCGUUAUCCGGAAUGAUUGGGCGUAAAGCGUCUGUAGGUGGCUUUUUAAGUCCGCCGUCAAAUCCCAGGGCUCAACCCUGGACAGGCGGUGGAAACUACCAAGCUGGAGUACGGUAGGGGCAGAGGGAAUUUCCGGUGGAGCGGUGAAAUGCGUAGAUCUUGGAAAGACCACCAAUGGCGAAGGCACUCUACUGGGCCAUUACUGACACUAAGAGACGAAAGCUAGGGGAGCGAAUGGG
rnacentral:rRNA from 1 species